rnacentral:lncRNA from 12 species
GGGGGAAUACAAAGCUUUCUCCUGACUUGCAUGGAUUUCUCCAGAGCCUUUGCUUUUGGAAAUGCUACCAGAAUGAUGGCUGUGUUUUCAGUGGUGGAAAUUAUUGAUAAAUCCCAAAAGCAAGGAAUCAGAGAAUAUCUGCUUUCCAGUGGUGAUGUAUGAAUUUUACCAAAGCUACACCAUUAUUUAUAGUACCCUAAUGAGUUUUUUUUCAUAGAAACAAAAGAUUUCUAACAUUUUCUGGAACUGCAAGAAAAUAAAGGAAAGAAGAAAGAAUUCAACUAGAUGCCUGUGUGUUAGGCCAACAUUGGAAGGGAUCAGCCUUAAAGGAUAAUCAAUACUGAUACCACUAUCCUUCAUCUCCUCAUAUCCAGCCUGCCCCCAAAGAUUUUCUUGGAACCCAUGAGAAGGGUGGUCACAAAACAUCACCAGGACCAAGAAGGGGAGAGAAACUUAGAGUCUACUUCUCUUAGUGGGCAAGUUCUGCAAGAAUGUAGAGGACUGGAAUAUUAAUGUGGCCAUUUUUGGAAAAGACAAUCUCCUCCAAGAAAUUCUGUCCUUUUGGAUGUUACCUGCACUGCAUAUCUGCAGAGAAAACAUGGAAAAUUAGCCAGAUUGUCUCAGUUGCCCAGUUGAAUGCUACUAGUUAUUAAUUCUAUGCUGCUUAGAAUUGAGGAAACAGGAAAGUGCAUGCAUGGAGGAUCGAUGACCCUUCCUUGUGUUGCAAAAAUGGAGAAUAAAAACAUAACUAAGGCAGAUGUGUCCCUCUUCCUCUUCAUUUUGAAUGUGGCUCCAUGUAUAUCUGACGUGACUCUUCCACAGUGUCUUAAGCACAAGAUUGGAGACCUGGGAUCGCUAAUUGUUCAACUCAGGCUUGUCCACUGCUCUGUGUGCUUAAUGCGACUUAAGACCAUGGCAAAAAGAUCUUGGAAAUCAUUUCCAUCCAUUAGUAUACGCUCUCUUUCCAUUUCUGUCAACCCUGAGAACUGUACGAUGGAGGAGGUGGAACUGAUAAAAGCCACAGCAACAAAAGCAAGGCCUUGUUUGGGGUCAUUUUCUCCAGUUAGGACAAUAUCUAAUUCCAGAGGCAUCUGCUACAUCUUAGAAUGA